CUACGGGGUGCUCCAGUGGGGAAUAUUGGACAAUGGGCGCAAGCCUGAUCCAGCAAUGCCGCGUGUGUGAAGAAGGCCUGCGGGUUGUAAAGCACUUUCAAUUGGGAGGAAAAGCGGUCGGUUAAUACCCGGCCGACUUGACGUUACCUUUAGAAGAAGCACCGGCUAACUCCGUGCCAGCAGCCGCGGUAAUACGGAGGGUGCAAGCGGUAAUCGGAAUUACUGGGCGUGAAGCGCGCGUAGGUGGCUAGAUAAGUCGGAUGUGAAAGCCCUGGGCUCAACCUGGGAAUGGCAUUCGAUACUGUCUGGCUAGAGUCUGGUAGAGGGAAGUGGAAUUCCAGGUGUAGCGGUGACAUGCGUAGAUAUCUGGAGGAACACCAGUGGCGAAGGCGACUUCCUGGACCAAGACUGACACUGAGGUGCGAAAGCGUGGGUAGCAAACAGGAUUAGAUACCCCCGUAGUC
rnacentral:rRNA from 1 species